GACUGUUAUUAGCUGUUUUUCCUGUGGCUUGGGAGUUGGUAACAGUGUGUUCUAGGUAAAAAUUUGGUUUUAUUUUUGUCUUCUGCAGGCUUUGUGGAAGUGAUUGCCACCUUUCUAAGUUUUUUGAGAUCACCCUCUUCUCCUGUCCACCAUAGUCAUUCGACCUUGAUCCCUGUGAUUUUUGGCCUUUCGUUAAGAUCAAGGCUGGGUUUGUUGGGAAGCGUUUUCUCCGCGUCCAAGACCUGGCACGAAUGGCGAAUUCAGAACUUACCAUACCUGGUUCUGAGUACCUGUCAUUGCUUCAUGGUGUGGCGAGAGAGGAUGGGAUGUUGGAUAGAGGCAGGAAGGGUGUGCUUUGAAGGAAUGAGGGAGGAACAGCUGAGAGAUUCACUGGAGAGUUUCAACACAGAGGACAUCGACAUGGAAAGAAAUAACACGGAAGAAUACCGACAUGUGGGAGUCUCACCACAUAACUACAACAGGGUGAGUGAGGGACAGAAGAAGCCACACAUGAGUGGUUCCUACGGGUUAUCACAGAAAUAUGAUUGUGCUAAAAAGCAAAGGGUCACUCGAGGCGAAGACAGCCCUGUGUAACUUUUCGUUAUCAGUUUUCUUGCAAACUCCUUACUGCAUUGUUAUUGUUCAUGCAAUGUAUUUUCAGUUUCCCGUUUCCAGAAUCCGUCAUAUUUCUGCCCUUCUUAAAACCGCAGUUUACAGCACUGUCUUAUUUUCACUGCAACACUAGCAAUGAGUAACCCAGCUUACACCAACACUGUUUCAGCCCGUCUACAGAUAUACUAGGCGAUAUGUAGCUAUCUAUCACAUGCAUAGGUAAGGUUUUACAGUUUUCUGGAGCACGUCCAUAUGUGGCCCAUUUCCUAAGAGCUGAAAAGUCUUGUUUUGUAAUAUUAGUGUCUUGUUUUACUGCACAGGUAACAUAGUGACCUAAAAUAUGAACACUGGAAAUCAUUAUGAGGAAAUGAUCGGAUAACAAGAAAUUCAUAAGAUAUUCUAAGAGGACAUUACCACUGAUAUUAUGUUUUUAUGUUCUACUGUAACUACCAUUUGAUUGUUAGGUGUGGUAUCUAAAAGGUGCACAGUAGCAGACAUUAGGCAUUAUUGCCGAGAAGUUGUACAAAAUGUGGUCCGUGGUAGGUACCUUACAUACUAUAUAAACCAUGUUUUUUUGUUUUUUUUCCUUUUUGUUCUUAUACGAAAUUGCAAAAUUUUACCAUUGGGCUAGGAUCCAUCCAUUACAUUCUUUUGAGUACCAGGAACUCAUAUACAGUGUGUGAAUAAAACUUCUCCAAAUGUAAGCAUGAAUUCUAGCCCUAAUUUUGAAUAAUAAGUAGUCUUAAAAGCACAAAUUACAGAGAGGUUACAGCACCGUGAUACACUACAGUGACAUUAAGAUUCUUUACAUGCCCCAAAGUCUUCUGUUUUAUGUGUGGGUCUUGUGUUCCUCUCUGCAAAAGGAUUUCAUUGUUGUAAAGAAAACUUUUUUUUUUUUUUU